ACGGAGGGGGCGAGCGUUGUUCGGAAUCACUGGGCGUAAAGAGCACGUAGGCGGUUAUUUAAGUCAGGUGUGAAAGCCCGCAGCUUAACUGUGGGGGUGCAUUUGAAACUGUCAGACUUGAGGAUCAGAGGGGACAGUGGAAUUCCCGGUGUAGAGGUGAAAUUCGUAGAUAUCAGGAGGAAUACCGGUGGCGAAGGCGACUUUCUGGACGAAUACUGACGCUGAGGUGCGAAAGCGUGGGGAGCAAACAG
rnacentral:rRNA from 1 species